CCCUUAGAUGUUCUGGGCCGCACGCGCGCUACACUGACGAAUGCAACGAGCUUAUAACCUUGGCCGAAAGGUCUGGGUAAUCUCCAAAUUUCGUCGUGAUGGGGAUAGAUUAUUGCAAUUAUUAAUCUUCAACGAGGAAUGCCUAGUAAGCGCAAGUCAUCAGCUUGCGUUGAUUACGUCCCUGCCCUUUGUACACACCGCCCGUCGCUCCUACCGAUUGAAUGGUCCGGUGAAGCGUUCGGACCGGGGCCUUUGGACGGUUCGCCGUCUGUUGGCUGCGGGAAGUUCGUUAAACCUUAUCAUUUAGAGGAAGGAGAAGUCGUAACA
rnacentral:rRNA from 1 species